rnacentral:lncRNA from 1 species
GCUCUCUUACUCUCUGCCCCUUCUCUCCCUGCCGCUCUCCCUCUCUCCCCACCCUCCUCCUCCCUCUCUCCACGUCUUCCUGGCCAGUUCCACCCCCCCUCCCGCCUUUCUCUAUCUCCCCUCCCUCCUCAACUCCCCUUCCCAUGCCCUAAAUAAACUCUGUUCCAUACUA